AGUUUUCUUUGCUGAGCUUUUCGAAGCCUUCUUCUUUGCAGCAGAAGAACUGUCCGCAGAGCUUUUCUUUGCGGAAGCUU
rnacentral:tRNA from 1 species